rnacentral:misc_RNA from 1 species
GAUUGAAAAAAAAUGGAACCACACCCAACAUUUUUCCUUAAACCCUAAAUAUAAUAACCCAAUAAAGUAUAAAAAGGAAGGAUAGCUCAAAAACCCUACUAUCCGCCAUCACCCGUAGUCGCAAGCCCUUUUCUACCUCCUAAUCAGAGACUGAUUAAGAGAGGAGAUAUGGGAAGUGAUAGCGAAGCAGAGAGGUCGCAGAAGCAGGAGAAGGAC